UCUUUUCUUCUUUCUGCUAGGGUUCUACUUUUUGAGUUUCAUUAUACAGGGAAUAUCAAUGACGAUUCUUUUUGUUUACGGUUUCAUAUUGUUGGUUAAAGAGCAAUACUUCGAAACAAAAUGCAAAAGCUUGCCAGAAGCCGAAAAACAGUGAAGAUAGUAAUGUUUCCGGUGUUGAAUCUCUUCUACUUAAAAAGAGUUAAAGAGAUUAUAGAUUUGCUUCAGCAAAAGCUUGAAUCAGUGAUUCAGGUUCCUGUAGAAGAAAACCUAAAUCACUUAUCACCUUUUCAUCUUCAUCUUUACCUCUGUUCUUAAAAAAAAAAAGAUGUCAUUUACGGUUUGUUGUUUUUCUAUAUUUAUUUUGAUUUGGGUGUUGUUCGACUGAUUCUUUUGAUUUGUCUCACUGUGUUUUAGUUUUGCAGGUGAGGGUUCAUUACUUCAUCUCUCUUCACCGGACAUGAUUUAGGUUUCUCUUUUGAUUGGGGUUUCUUAUUUUAGGGUUUUCAGUUGCAACCUAACCAAGAUUAUUGCUUUGUUCCUUUUCUCUGUUCAAUUUUGAUUUUGCUCUUAGUUUCGAAUUAGGAUUUUUAAUUAUUCAUAAUUUUGUUUUGAUUUUGCAGGCAAAUUAAUCUCUCUGCAACAAUCGAUACUCAUAUUCAGCUGCUGAUAUACAUUUUGUUUUGAUUUUAUCACGAAUUUAAUCUAAGCUUGCAGUAUACCCUAACUUUUAACCACAACAGAGUGCACAUGAACUAUAAGCGAUUCAUUGGUUUUGUAUGAUAUUACAUGUUUUAGCCGUAGAGGUGAACACAUUUUUUCUACAUUUUUUCUGCAUGUUUCACAUCAUUAUAGUUGGGAGUCAAAAUUAGAUCCUUUCGAAUUAUAAUAUGGUACCCUGAAUUUUUUUGAUAGGAUUUUUGUUUAUUGUUUGUUCAUUGUAGUCCAUGUACCAUCUGUCUAAGAUAGAUUUUUGUGUUGUUCGCUAGAUCGACCGUUCACAAUAUUGCAGUAGGACUGUCUUUGAGGAUGCCAAACACGAAUUGGUCAAGCACUUCUUCUGGGAUGAAGAUUUCCGGUCCAUCCAGGGUGCAAUUCUACGUAAGAGGAAAGAACUGGGACAGUAAGGUUUGGUGAUUAUCUUAGCCUCUUCAUGUUUAAUGGACCAGGCUUGACUCAUCUUCUUAGUUGAAUUCAUUUGAUAUUAUUAUUUCAUUUCUAUAUUUUGGUGAAGUUUCCCUUCAUAAUAGGACCUCGAGUAUGGGAGGCAGGAAGAUCAUAUUAGUGUAUCACUAAGUUGGUGAAGUUUCCCUUCAUAAUAGGACCUCGAAUAUGGGAGGCAGGAAGAUCAUAUUAGUGUAUCGCUAAGGCACAAGCAUUAGUUGCUUCAAAAAUCAUAUAGAUGUUGAUGAACAACGUAGGAGACAGUCAAACUCAUGGUUAUGCCAACCGUACUCAUGAAGAACAACGAAAUCUACGAUUGAAGCUCGACUUAGAACCAGGAAAGUGCUGAAAUAUGACUGUGUUUAACAAAUUGAUUUGGAAAAAAUAAACUCAGCCCGUGCUUUGCCACUAGCAUCUCCCACAUCCGAAAUCACUGUGAUACUAUGUCGGGCAAAGAUCCAUAGCGUCCAGUUUGAGUUCUUUUUACCGAUACUAUUGGAGAUGCUUCUGCAUUUACUUUUGCUGCCCUAUAGAUUAACGGCUUUGGUUUUCAAGUGUAUUAUGGCCUGGCCACGCACUCUGAAGGAAAAUGGCCAGCAGUCAGAUAUGAAGAUCAAUCAUCAUGUUUGUUUGCCAUAUUGUGGGUCUAUGUCACUCUACACAUCUAAGUAGUUCACGGGUACACAUCAUCAGAUGACACUUCUUCUCUACAGAGGAUAAUCUUAAAAUUUGGUUUGUUUCAUACUUUGAAAAAAAUGUAUGCAGUUAGGUAAUGGUGUUUCAAGUCAUUUGAUUAACAAGCUAAUCUGAAUUUAACGGAUUUUAGAA